GAUGAACGCUGGCGGCGUGCCUAAUACAUGCAAGUCGGACGGAGCGCUUCGGCGCUCAGUGGCGAACGGGUGAGUAGCACAUGGGCAACCUGCCCUUCAGUGGGGGACAACAGUCGGAAACGACUGCUAAUACCGCAUGACGCUUCUUGGGGGCAUCCCUGAGAAGUCAAAGCUUUAUGUGCGGAAAGAUGGAUUCGCGUCUGAUUAGCUAGUUGGUGAGGUAACGGCUCACCAAGGCGACGAUCAGUAGCCGGUCUGAGAGGAUGAACGGCCACAUUGGGACUGAGAUACGGCCCAG
rnacentral:rRNA from 1 species